rnacentral:rRNA from 1 species
AGUGAACGCUGGCGGUAGGCCUAACACAUGCAAGUCGAGCGGCAGCACAGUAAGAGCUUGCUCUUACGGGUGGCGAGUGGCGGACGGGUGAGGAAUACAUCGGAAUCUACUUUUUCGUGGGGGAUAACGUAGGGAAACUUACGCUAAUACCGCAUACGACCUACGGGUGAAAGCAGGGGAUCUUCGGACCUUGCGCGAUUGAAUGAGCCGAUGUCGGAUUAGCUAGUUGGCGGGGUAAAGGCCCACCAAGGCGACGAUCCGUAGCUGGUCUGAGAGGAUGAUCAGCCACACUGGAACUGAGACACGGUCCAGACUCCUACGGGAGGCAGCAGUGGGGAAUAUUGGACAAUGGGCGCAAGCCUGAUCCAGCCAUACCGCGUGGGUGAAGAAGGCGUUCGGGUUGUAAAGCCCUUUUGUUGGGAAAGAAAAGCAGCAGGUUAAUACCCCGCUGUUCUGACGGUACCCAAAGAAUAAGCACCGGCUAACUUCGUG